rnacentral:rRNA from 1 species
CCUACGGGUGGCACCAGUGAGGAAUUUUGCGCAAUGGGGGUAACCCUGACGCAGCUACGCCGCGUGAGUGAAGAAGGCCUUCGGGUCGUAAAGCUCUGUCAAGUGGGAAGAAACCGCCUCAGGUCAACCGGCUGAUGCGCUGACGGUACCACUGAAGGACGCACCGGCUAACUUCGUGCCAGCAGCCGCGGUAAUACGGAGGGUGCAAGCGUUAUUCGGAAUCACUGGGCGUAAAGGGCGCGCAGGCGGCUGGGCAAGUCAGUAGUGAAAGCCCGGGGCUCAACCCCGGAAGUGCUGCUGAAACUUUCUGGCUUGAGUAUGGUAGAGGGAAGCUGAAUUCCUGGUGUAGCGGUGAAAUGCGUAGAUAUCAGGAGGAACACCGGUGGCGAAGGCGGCUUCCUGGACCAAUACUGACGCUGAGGCGCGAAGGCGUGGGUAGCAAACAGGAUUAGAUACCCUAGUAGUC